rnacentral:pre_miRNA from 7 species
CUUUGGGGAUCAUGGUUGUCACGCAGAUCUCAGUGGGACCUCCAAAUGAAAGACUCCAGUGGGGAGACACCCACACAAAUCCUGAUAUGGUUUGUGCACCCAAGGAAUCAUGAGAGACC